rnacentral:pre_miRNA from 1 species
UAGACAGAUUUUUGUAUUCGACUGUAUUCACGGCGUAAAUAGCGCAAUUCAUGGUCUAUUCAGCUGUUUUUAAAUGGAAAGUGAAUCAAUUAACAUAAUAGACUCCU